rnacentral:rRNA from 2 species
GGGUGGUUAUAGCAAUGUGGCCCCACCUCUUCCCAUCCCGAACAGAGAAGUGAAACACAUUAGCGCUGAUGGUACUGGUUUAUUCUGGGAGAGUAAGUCGCUGCCCU